rnacentral:rRNA from 1 species
UACGUAGGGUGCGAGCGUUGUCCGGAAUUAUUGGGCGUAAAGAGCUCGUAGGCGGUCUGUCGCGUCGGUCGUGAAAACUUGGGGCUUAACCCUGAGCUUGCGGUCGAUACGGCAGUGACUGGAGUUCGGUAGGGGAGGACUGAAUUCCUGGUGUAGCGGUGAAAUGCGCAGAUAUCAGGAGGAACACCGGUGGCGAAGGCGGGUCUCUGGGCCGAUACUGACGCUGAGGAGCGAAAAGCUGGGGGAGCGAACAGG